rnacentral:misc_RNA from 1 species
AACGUAGGACGCAAGCGUUAUCCGGAAUUACUGGGCGUAAAGCGCGUGUAGGUGGAGGUUUAAGUCACUUGUGAAAGCUCCCGGCUAAACUGGGAGAGGUCAGGUGAGACUGGGCAUCUAGAGGAUGUCAGAGGGAUGCAGAAUUCCGGGUGUAGUGGUGAAAUGCGUAGAGAUCCGGAGGAAUACCAGAGGCGAAGGCGGCAUCCUGGGACAUACCUGACACUGAGACGCGAAAGCACGGGGAGCGAACGGG